rnacentral:lncRNA from 1 species
UUUUUUUUUUCUAUCUGGGUCAAUGAUUUUAAAUUGUGAUAUGUCCUUGAAAAAUAGUGUGGUUAGUGUUAAAACAGAAUUUAGCUGAAAUCAACACAAAUAACAAAAUACUUAAGAGUUCUUAUUUGAAGUAAAUAGGUCUGGUUAUGGGCCUGGAGACUGAUUUCCAACUUCGUUACCUAGUGCCUCUACAAUGUUAAGCAGAAUACUUAAAUUUUUUGCUCAACUGUGUCCACAUGUUUUAUAAGGAGGCAACUACCCUGUCUAGAUCUAGAACUGAGGUAGGAAAAAAUGAGAUAUAUUCUAAAAAAUACCUUCUAAAGACUAACUUCUACAACAGAUUUUAAUUGAGUUCCUCUUCCUUCUCAUCUCAUUAUUAUUUCCUUCUGUUCCUUUUCAGAAGUCAAAUUAAUGGAGAGAAGAUAAGCUAUCCCUUACACUCUGCUGUUUUUACCUUCAAGUCCUUGUUCUCAACAUAAUAAUUUUUUUCUAAAUUUAGGGAAAAUGUCACUGAAUAAAUAUCUAUGAUUAAGAAUAUACUUAUCAGCCUGAACCCAUGUUAUAAAUUAGAUAAUUUGUGAUCACAAAAUAUUUUAUGAGUCAGUUUAUCAGAUCCAAGAUAUGCAUUAUGCACACUGAAAUGCAUGCAAUCUUCCUAUGAAGAUAAAAUGGGGGGCUCUGAAUAAUUUGUAUCAAAAAUUUACCUUCCAACUUCAAAAUUUUUUAAAUUAAAUGACUCAUUCAGGAUCCUAACUUUGAAUUAGAGUAUUUAGUAAAAAGACUGUUUGCAAAAAGAGAGUUGAAAGAGGAAAUCUCUGGGAUUAGAACAGAAGGGGGAAAGCUGUUAGGAUUCCUACCACCCCUACCACAUGACAACACUAUCACCACAGACCACAGGGGCACGCACAGAGCUUCUGGUGUACACAGAAGAGUACACCACCAGCACACAUGGCUUUAAGGAGGGAGCCAAAGGAAUAAAUUCCUAAUUUGUCUCUCUCUCCUUCCAGGUUUUUAAUAGAUGCUGCCAUGUACAUAAUACAACUGUACGAGAAAGAGAAAAGGGACCCCAUUUUAUAAAGCCAAUGUUCAACUCCUGGAGAAUGGAGAAGGAUGAAGAGUGCACUUGAGGGGCUAACUGGUAGACCACCAGCCCAGGAGCGUUGAAAUAAAUAUAAUCGUCUCAGAAUCAUCAGUUUUGCAUUGACAUGAUUAUUUAUAUAUUGGCGAGACAUUAUGAUACAUCUUAUCUUUUCCUCCUUUGAAGUGGGAAUCAUUUGCAGCAGUAAAAUAUUAAAGAUAAGGGAAAAACUAAGGGAUUGGCAGUUUCCAAUCCCAAAUUAAAGACUGAAAAAAAGCAAAUUGUUUUUUCAACAUUACAGAGGAUGUCCUUUCAGAAGGCAGCAUUUGCUAAGGUUUGUUUGGUAAAAAGCAUUAUAUUGUUGAAGAGUCAUACACAUUUAUUUUUUGGAGCACAAAAGCAGAAAAACUCAACUCUUGCUUAAGCAUAUGUCAAAUGGCAUAUCAUGCUUUUUUUUUUUUUCAAUAGCAGCAGAAUUGGCCACUUUCCCAAUUUCAUUUUCUGCCUUCAAAGGCACACACAGUGUGACCCCUACUCAGUCAAGUAAGAAAACUAAUGGCUAGGCUAAGCUCAGCCCCAACAAAAAGAAAUAAUGUUAAAUAAUAUGAUGAGAGUUUUCUAGGAAUGUUACCUACUGAGAAGUCCCCCUUUUCACUUUAACAAAUCAUGGAAGACUAUGCAGUGUUUAUUCACUGACCUUCCAAGAGUGAUUCAACACAUAUUCAAACAAAAAAAAAAGCAACUCCUGUGUUUUUACAGGUUUGUUUUAAAAAUAACAAUGAAAAAUGGAAAUGGAAAGGACAUUGGAAGAGUGCACUGAAGAUAGAUAGCUUUUGUUUUAAAGAAUAAUUAUUGUCAUCACACAGUCUAAAUACAUUCUGCCUGUGGUGUUUCAACUUUAGAAAUCACUGAAUAUAGAAUAGGAUUUAUGGGUCAGAACAAAAUAAAAAACAAAAAGGAGAUUCUGACCCACAACUUAAACAGGUACAUCGUCCUCUGCCAUUUCAGCUAAAUGUAAGGACUAACUGGUAAUAUUACAUAAAUAUUACUCAUAAGUCUUACAAAUGCAAUAUAUAAGUUGGCAUCUUGAUCAUGGGUACUAAUUUUUAACAUGUUCUCUAGAAUAGUUCCAAUUCUCAAUAUUAGGCAAAAAUUAACCUAAAAUUAUUUGAUUUUCUAUUAACAGACUCUGUACAAUAGCCUGCAUUUUCGCAGAUUUAUCUCCUAUGUAGGUGGACUCACAGAAAAUCAUGAUUGCUGUGUUCCCUGGCUGUAUGGAGAAUAUGCUGCCUUCCACAACUCCUUUAUAUACAAAACUUAACCUUAACAAACAGGAAAGUUAUUCUUUAGUAUAUUUUCAGUGACCUUAAAUAUUACAAAGUCUCUUGAAAGAGGCAAAUUGCUGUGUUAAACAUUUCAUCAUUAUUUUAUAUUAUAUGGCUGGAUACAUGUAUAUAUAAAAUUUCAUAUGUAAUUUACUUGACAGGGAAAAAAUGGUCAGAAAGGCAGGAAAGUAAAUUUUUCCUCAGAAACCAAUACUUCUUCAGUAUAUUCUUUUUUUUUUUUUUUUUUUUUUUUUUAGGGCUGCACUUAAGGUAUGUGGAAGUUCCCAGGUUAGGGGUCAAAUCAGAGCUGUAGCUGGCGGCCCACACCACAGCCACAGCAACAAGGGAUCUGAGCCAUGUCUGCAACCUACAUCACAGUUCACGGCAAUGCCGGAUUCUUAAUCCACUGAGCAAGGCCAGGGACUGAGCCUGCGUCCUCAUGGAUACAAGUCAGAUUGUUUCUGCUGUGCCACAACAGGAACUCCCUAUAUACUUUACUUUUAAUAUUUUAAGUAUUUAUGAUUUUAAUUUCCAAAUCCCUAUAAUAACACAAAUAAUAAUAAAAGUUCUCAAAAUGAAAAAGCAGUAAUGGGGUGCUAUUAAUAGUUUCCAUUCUCCUAAAACAUUGUCAUAUUUAAACAUUUUUUUAAAUUUACAGAUUUAGCUUCAAACGUUCUAAAGUUGAAUAGCCUUUAAAAGUUUCUAGAAUAGUCUUUCACAUAGAGUACAUAAAUAUGUUUAUCUGAAGUGGUUCUGCUCAGAAAUUUAAUAAAUUGUGCAGUCCACAGGGAAGACCAUUAAUUAUGUAAAGACUGAUGGGGAUUCAUUUACUUGGUUUCUUUCAGAACUACUUGACUUGUCACUAUUUAAUUAAACAAAAAUAAAUGUGAUAGUAGGGAGAAAUGCAUGCUGUCAGUGAACACUACAAAUACGCCCCUGGAAUAGACAGUUGGAUUUUAGAUGUCUCUAUAUUUAUAGGGAAAAACAGAGAAAAGAAUUAUAAACACUUGCCUACAGAACAUAUAUCUCCAACUACAUCUUUUCUUAGUUUCCUUUUAAGGAGAAGACUAUGAAGACAAAUAACUACCAGUGCAUGAGUACACUCCUUUAUUUCAUCCCUUGAAGAGUCCAUUUUCUUCCAGGGCAGUAGAGUUUAUGUAUUUGAUACAAUGUUCACACAUCUUAGUUCAAUUUGAAAACAUGGCACUGUGCACACUGCCCAUGUCAUUACUUGGUGAAAAUUCAACAUCAAGAUAUUAAAGACAAGCUACUGAAGGGUAGGGAAGAGGGGCAGAGUGAGUUUUAUACAGUACUUAGUUGUAAAAAAAAAAAAAAGUUGUGAUUACACAAUAGAGAGUACUUUGAAUGUAGAUGAUAAACAGUAGGAAUAUCUAUUUUAAAUACAGAGUUGAAAUAUUUAGAUAUUUUUUAAACUACAUGAUCCCUGACCCUAUUAAGCUGUUAGCGCCAAAGGACUGGUGAGAGUGAGACAGCAUACAGAUGGUGGCAACUUGUCAAUUCUCUAGUUUUGGGACCUUGGGCAGAGCAUGUAACCCUUUGACGCUUGUUUCUAAAAUGGCCAUGCAGUUAUUUACAUUGGAUUAGACAUCAUAUAUAUAGUCAUAGAUACAACAUAUUCAAAGCAUCUAUACUAGUGCAUAUUGCAAGAACAGUUAUUACAAAUAGAUAUUAUAAAUCUUUUCUCUGAUUUUAUGUUUGAGAACAAUUUUAGCACUAGGAGUUACAAGCAGAGAUCACUUUUGUCACACUGAGACAGGAUUAAUAGACCUACUAACUGACUGGAGGAUUUAUAUUUAAUUUCCUAUUUGGACUAGCAUAUAUCUUCCUUAAGGUAUUAUCUGGCCUGUGAAUCUAAGAAUAGACAAUAUAGCUAUCCCUGAGAUGCCAAGGAGAUACUGCAUAAAACGAUGUUUUACAGGAACUCUCCCCCAUAGAUAUAUUUUAUUUAGGUUAAAGAAUGUCUUUUAGGAGUUCCUGUCAUGUCACUGCGGAAACGAAUCCAACUAGGAACCAUGAGGUUGCGGGUUCAAUCCCUGCCUCGCUCGGUGGGUUAAGAAUCUGGCAUUGCCGGAGUUCCCGUCGUGGCUCCGUGGUUAACGAAUCUGACUAGGAACCAUGAGGUUGCGGGUUCGGUCCUUGCCCUUGCUCAGUGGGUUAACGAUCCGGCGUUGCCGUGAGCUGUGGUGUAGGUUGCAGACGAAGCUCAGAUCCCGAGUUGCUGUGGCUCUGGUGUAGGCCAGUGGCUGCAGUUCCGAUUGGACCCCUGGCCCGGGAACCUCCAUAUGCCGAGCGGCCCAAGAAAUGG